UAAUGUAAAAACAUGAGAAAUUGACAUUGUCUAUAACUGGCAAGCUAAAAAGGUUGACAUAUUUUGUGUCGAAUAGUUAAUGUAAAAUGCUGAACUCUGCAUUCUCUCUACCGUCGGACAGGCCCACAUGAAUAACACAACAGCUACAACGACUGCACCGGACACAAAGGCUGGGGAGAAUAGGCAUAUAAAAGCGACAUCAAGCAAGUUAGCUUCUCGGCUUUCUAUUAUGUUACUGUAACGUGUGGUACGCGCAGCCGCUGACUGUUGGUGAAAAAAAAAUGAAUAUGCAAACAUCCUCCAAGAAGGUUCACGCCACAAUAAUAAGCAUCAACACAAAGCCGAUCGCCUAGCUAUAGCAGCCAAGCUAACCACCGUAUCAAGCUAGCACAGCUACAGUAUUUGAGCAAUAUCUGAAUAUGGCAUGUAUAAAAACAACAGUCACGUCGCCGAUUACUAAUAAAAUAUGCUAAAUCGUAUUUUUAGACAGUGGUAUGAAUAUGUAGCGGCGUACAGCGGUCUAAUCACAAAGCACCCUGGGUUGACGCAGGACAAGACUAGUGAGCUUCAGCGGGACCUCUUGAAGGGCGAGCAGGACAUACAGCAGGAGUGGGAUGGGAGUCCACAGGAGAUUGGACACUGAUGAGCUGAGCUGGUGAUCCCUCCUCUCUGCACCUGGGGGCAUCGUUUGCAUCAACAUCAGCCUGAGGAAGGAGGAGGAUAUGGUCAGAGGGAGAGGGUUGAAGGCUUACUUGUCAGUGGCGUUCAGACGGGCAUUGAACUUGAUCGGGAGGUCCACAAUAUGCGUGUGCUGUAGAGGAGAGACGUGACAGAGGAAAGAAGAGACAGGAGAGGAGUGACAGAGGAGCGAGUGAGACCCGAGGGAGGACAUGACUGAUGACAUCCACGCUAAUACAUAUGAAGACUUUCCACUAGCUCUCUUUCAUCACAGUAUAGAAGGAGUGGGCACUCCGCACCACGCACCUCAGGACAAGACAUGUGACCUGCUUUGCUCUCCGGAGCAGAGCGCCAUUGAAAGGAUUGAUAACUGGAGUGGCGUUAAGUGUUGAGGAGGACCAACUGAAAUUGAAGAUUCCUGGUGUCUGUGACGCCCGCCGUUUGCUGCGACUCAGACCCGGCGGAGAGCGUCGUGAAACACAGAAAAUACUGUCUGUCCUGCUAAAUUUGGAUGCAGUGUCUUUACCUGACAACGUUAGGAUUUGUCAGUUAUCCCGUGAGACAUUUUGUCCCGAAUCCAUUAGUGUUUUCAUUUCAAGUUGUAUGCAGGGGAUACACAGCAGGUCCCUUCUCAACCAUGCAACAACAAUAAUAACAAUAACCAUUUUAAUAACAAUUUAAUAAACAUUUAUAAUAAAUAAAGAUGUUAUAUGCCAAGCUUAUGGUCAUGUUGCAGCAGUGUGUAUGAGGGAGGUUCUGAGAUGUGUGCAGGGGGGCAUCAGACAAAGGAAUGUGUAGUAUCGGUGGAGAAAGCUGUGUGUGUUAACUGAAGGGUUACCCAUGGUGUUUGAGAUCAGGAGGGGCCAGUGAGAGAAAGGCAAGUCGCUGUUUCCAGGAUUUGAGUAGUACAGAAGCACUGGCAUACCCCCCCCCCCCCCCCCACUCCCAGGCUGCCUGGUCUAGGAUCAGAUACAGUGAAUUCAGAAGGUGUUUACAGACCUUGAUUUUUUUAAUGCAUUUGUUGUGUUAUAGCCUGAUUUUAAAAAUGAUUAAAUGUAGAUGUUGUGUCACUGGCCUACAUACAAUACCCCAUGUCAAAAUAGAAUUAUGUUUUUAG